rnacentral:lncRNA from 1 species
CAGCAGGUGCUGAAUCACAACUGUCAAUGCCUCAAACUUGGUAUUACCACAGGCAAGAAGCUGCUUGAGCUGCAGGAUAAAUCCACUUUGGUUUUCACAUUUUGUUUUAUAUUGCGUCAAUUCAAGUGUUUUCUCAGGGGGCAGCGCAUCGGGAGCUGUCUGUGGCUGGAUACAUAAGCUUCGAGGAUUCUUUUGCCUGCUCUUUUCAACUGCAAA